CGCCACCACCACCAUCCAGAACUUGAGCCAAUUUAUCCAACAUCAAUAUCUGCCGUUGGAUUUACUUCAGGAAUAGGCACAUUUCCUGGGUUUCACUUUCCUGCACGAAUUCAAGGUGAUGAAGAGGAGCAUGAUGGAUAUUCUGACAAACCAUCAUCUGCUUCUUCUGAUUCUCCCCAUUGAUUUUACCUCAAAAAACUGAAAAUUCAUUAACAGGGCUUUAUCCAUUUCUCAGAACUGAAGAGAGAUUUCAGUGAUUUAGUUUCAGGUUUUCGAUCUCGGGUUUGUUAAUCUGUGUUUCUUGUUUUGUGUCUUCAUGUGUGAAUGAGCUAUUAGGGCUCGACGUAAUUUGUUUCAAGUUACAUUCAGGUUUUAUUAUGGAAUUCUACAUUUAUUCUUGUCGCUAAUAUUUGUUUAUUUGCA